UAUGUUCUCCUUUCCUGACACUGUGGAAUUCCUUUUUAUAAUUGUUAUCUGUUUUCAUGUAUACACACUUCUCAUGUUAAAUAAGUGCAGAUGUCGAGAUAAUUGGAUUUAUAGCAUCAAUGACUAGCACCAGUGGAUAUACCACAUGGGAAGUUAAAUAGAUAUAAAUUGGUUUGACAAAUAUCUGAUGUAUUUAUGACUGGUUUAAACUGCAUCAAAAAUAAAUACUGACAUCUGAUUAGUAUUAGAUAAGUGUGAUACAAUCAAGCCAUAAUCUUUGCCUAAUGAUAUUUUAAUCUAAAUGUCUCACCCUUUUUAUACAUAAUAGAGCUUGAAAUAGUGACCUAUUCCAGCUGCCCAUCCCUACUACUCAAUUACAUAGUAAGUGGCCUCUUUGGGAGAUAAUAUUGACUUUUAGCAAUUUGUUUAUCAACACAGUCUUAUUUUAAUUAAAGAUGGAUAGAGAAAAGAAGGAAAAUGCUAAAAUAUUUCAACGUAAAACUUAUAGAGAAAAACGAUCUUUAAAAAGAAAACUUCAAACAAAAUAUAGUGAAAAUAAUAUUCGGAUUUCUCUUCAAACAUGCUCUACAAUUUUUGAAAAUCGACAAAAAUUAAAUGGAUACAUGUAUGAAGCACAAAACUGUAAGUUUGAUUUUCGUUCUCUGCUGGGAUUACUUGCUAUUUUAGAUCAUCUAGAGUGCAGCACACUUAUAGAAUUCCAAGAUGCUUUUGAGAUUUAUUCAUCUUUCUUUGAACAUCAACCAGAUAAAAAUGUUUUUCGGGACAAGAUAUUGGAUGUUGAUAAAGGACUAGUUUGCUGUUAUUUCAUGCACCCUUUUGAUAAAGUAACAUACAUUUCUUUGCGGACACCGGAUGUACCAGUGGAAAGAAUUAUAUUUCAAAUAUUUACAUCCAUUCCCGAAAAAGGUGAAAUCAUUCCCACUUUUUCAGCAGAGACAGUUGAAAAGAUUUUGCAUUCUAUGGACUCAGAAUAUGAUAAACAGUGUGCAAAAGCUUUACUUGUAUCAGCUAAUUCAACUGACAUGGAGCUUUAUUCCUUUGGCAUCAACCCACAAACAGCAAAAAAACAUAUAGAAAGAAUAAAAAAUAUUACUGAAGAAUGUGAUAAUGCAUUAAAUGCGGCAAAGGACGUUGUAAACUUACGUUUAGAUGAAAAAAUUCAAACCUUAAAAACAAAAAGUGCUACAUUGAAAGUCCAAAUUGACAAACUAUCAGGAGGUGAUCAUCAAGUUCAUUUGAUAAACGAAAUGCAAGAGGAAAAAGACGAUCUUGACAUUUCCAUUCAUGAACAAACAAAAAUAAAAGAAAAGCAAAACAUAUAUUAUAAACAAAGAUAUAACCAGGCAGUAAAAAGGACGGCAAAGAGUUUAAUUGAUGACAACAGAAUUAAGAAAAGGAAGUUAGGAGCUGGUCCGAAGGAAAAAAUUGACGAAGAAGACGAGGAUUUUUUACUGAAUUGCAUAGAGUCCAAAGCAACGGCACAUGGUAGAAGGCAUGAUUCUGUAUUAUAUUUGAAUCAUUCAGUCAGAAAAAGGGAUUUUAAAAACAUUGUGAACCAUUUUCGUAUAUCUCAAGGAAAGCAAACCAUUAAGUCUAGUACAACUGUAUACAAUAGGGGUAGACCUAAAAAUACUAGAACCUUGCAAGCUAAGAAGCAUAAAGGCAAAUGGCUAUUCUCAUCUAAAAAACCAACUAAAUCUGAAGAAAAGAAUAUAAUUCAUACAAAGCACCAAAGAGCUCAUGUAAAACGUGCAGUUAUCCAUUUAUGUAAAGAAGACCAGGAUUUAGCUUUGAUACACAGCAUGGAUGACAAAGCAUACCUCAAACCAGAAGCAUCAGAUGGGUUAGAUAAGUUUAAAGUGUUUCAAACUACAGACUCUGAUAAACAGCGAAAGCUACCAAAGUAUGACUUUGCUCAAGCUAAAUUAAACAUCACACCUAGUAGCCAUAGGUUUAUCAUGAAGGACAUCACCUAUGUUGACAAUAACCUUGAAAUGGUAAUGAGUGAAGAUGAAAACAUUUGUGUGUUUAGACCUAAAUUCUAUAUUGGCAGUUCAGGAACUGUAUGGGCCUCUGAGGAUCGUAAACUCCGAUAUGAAAAGCCCCAAUUAUACGAAAGGAAGGCUGAAACUACGCAGCUAUCCAAUGAAUUCCACAGCAUAGCCGCUCUUAUUAGGGACAAAGCAAAACAUUAUUCCCUGCAGAAUGUUUUGGAAGAUGUUAAUAGAGUAACAGCUAACAGGGACUGUCCAUUCAAAGCGUUUGAGCAAAUUAAACUGGAUUCUCUAUUUUUACAUAUAGAACAGGCUUUAAAACUGUUAAAUAUUUUCAAUUUGCCAGAAAAAAAUGCAUAUGAAAAGCAAUGCUAUAUGAAGCUGUAUGAUAUAACUAAAACCAUUCAUACAAGAAUAGAAAGUACAAAGGAACAAUUAGGGGAUAUCGAAACAAGUGAAGAUGUGCAGGAACUUAUAGAAAAUGUUGCUCAUUCAUGCACUCAAUUGCUCAACAUGCUGAAUGAGUUUGAGCUCAGGAAAACAAAACCAAGGGUUUUAGAACUUACAGAUGGAGGUCCAGGUGUUGGAAAAUCAAAUAGGGACGUUCGCUUUAGAGCAGCAGAAAAGGUUUUAAUAGAUAAUCUUGAUUUUUAUACUAGGAUUCACAGGGCAACUGGUGACUGCCAGAAUGAGGUGGAAAGAACACAAGCAGCAGUUGGAAAAGCCAUUUCUGAUGGAGGUUCUAUCCACUGGGAAUAUAAACAGCUGGACAUUGAAGAUAAUGAUAUUAAACAAAUGACAAUAGACGAAAUUGAAAAAACUGAAGAUGAUAUUAAUAAAUUUAAUGUGACUCAAACAUGCAAGGAUUUAGCUAUGAGAGUUGAGAAUUCCCCUGGUCCAAGGGGUGGAUUUAUGACAGGGCUAGUAGUGGGAUGUGAUAAAGAGCAAUUAUAUUUUAACGAUGAAACAGCUCUUAAAUGUUAUUUGGAUACUGCACCAUCAAAACGACAAGACGUACCUGGCUAUCAUUAUUUUCAGAAGGUUUCUAAGUUUUAUGAUACACAUUUUACAGAAGGGGAACUUUACAUGGAAUUUGUUAGAUUUAACUGUGAAGAAACAACCAAUCAAAUUUGUGAAAUUUGCCAAACAGGAUGGUCAGGAAAACCUAUUUCAACGGUUCCAAGGCCUUAUCCUGGUAACAACUUUCAAUAUAAAAAGUAUGAAGAUACUCCAAUUGAAAUUAAUGGCAAAAGAAGAAAACCGGACGACUUUCAGCCUAGAUGUCAAGUUCGUAUCUUGCAUAAUGAAGGAAAAAUCAAGUCGGAUAUGUCGAAUGAAAUUCAGUCAUUUGCAGAAAAGCAUGCUGUUGAAGAUUCUUCUUUGAUUAAGGCCGAAUUACACCAUAUUGAGCUUAUAAAAUUCAAACGAGAAAAAAGAUCAGAAUUCAGAAAACUUAAGACUCAGUUCGAAAAAAGUAAAAAAAUUGAUGACUAUGACUGGACAGAUUUACAUUUAAAAGGGAAAAUUAAGGAUUUAAGUGUAAAUUUGUUAGCAAUGUAUAUAUCUGAGAAGAAGCUUUGUAAUCCUAUUCCACGGAAAAAAUCUGAAAAAAUUUCACUUGUAGAGGCACAUCUUUCAAGACAGAGGGCAAUAAACAAUUUUAAGAAAUCUGACAAAAGAAUCUUGAGACAGCAAAAUGAUAUCCCUGACACUGAUGAUGAUGAUGUAAUGUCAGAUGUUUCAGAGGAAGAUUUGAUAAUAAGGGAAAUUGGGUCUGACAGGGAUGAAAGUGGUGAUGAAGAAUUAAUAAGACCACCUGCUGAAAAAGUAAAUAGAUAUGGAAGGGUAACAUCUCAUUGGAAACAAAGAAAAUUCUUUGGGGACUCUGAUUCAGACAGUGAAUAAGGAUGUUUAUUGUGUGAGAAAAAACUUGGAUGUACAGUAUAUAUUUCAGUAAUAACAUUUUGGAUAUUUAUUUUAAUUUGUUGUACAUAGACAAUUUUGGAUUUGUAUGAAAAGAUGAGCUGAGGAUUGCAGAUAUUUUCAAUUUUAUCACAACAAAAGGCUGUUGAUAUAUGAAAAUAUGGAUAUUAACAUAUGUGACCAGUGUGAGGAGGAGAAAGCUGACAGAAAGUGUUUUGAUUGCAAUUUACUAUACUGCAAUAGUUGCUCCAAUUUAAUUCACAACAAGGGAAAAUUGCAGUCACACAGAUUAGGAGAAGUAACGGAAAAAUGCCAGAAAUUUUGUCAGAAUUGCGAUGAAAAUGAAGUGCAAAUAUUUUGUGAAGAUUGUGAUCUGAAUUACUGCUUAACAUGUUCCGAUAAAUUUCAUAAAAAGGGAAAGCUGGUAUUACACACACGACAACAGGUUAAUUCUAAAGAAAUUCCGUCAAUUAAAGGAAAAAAAGAAUGGGAGAAUACAACAUAUGGUUGGUAUCCAGUUCCAAAGAGUGAAAAAUGUGAAUUUUUCAAUAGACUUUUACCAGAUUUUUACCAGAAUGCAUGGAAAUAUAUGAGUGAUCCUUAUAUAUUUAAAAAGUCUUUUGUGACAGAAGCUACCAGACAAUGGGAUAUACAAUCAAGAAUGAAAAAACUUGAAGGUUCAGUGAACUUUAUACUAGGGACCAAUCCAAAUGCAGUUGGUAGUUUUAUACAUGGAGAAAUUCUAAAACCUGGACAAAAUAAAAUUCUUGAUAACAACAUUAAAAAAUUGAAUACAAAUUAUGCGUCCUUGGAUGAACUUAAAGUUGAAGUUAAAGACAACGAAUGUGAAAUUUAUGACCAAACUGGGCGUACUUUGCUCAAAGAACAAUUUACAGUCCAACAUGCUUUUAAUCUACAAAUGCUCAUCUUGUUAUCACAACUUCAUGAUUAUGAUUAAAGAAGUGUUGCAGAAGUGUGACAAAUUACGUCAGAAAUAUAUCCAAUUAUUUGGAGGCAAGGGGAGAGUAGGCAGAACAGAAAUUGGAAUUAGGAGAAAAAAAACUGGACAUAACCGUAGGAAAGCUAUAAAGCGAAAUUUAAAACAUCUAUUUAAGCAGUGUAGUGUUUUAACGAAAGAAUUGUGUCCGAAUCUAACAGUUUCAAAUGAUGAAUUUUCAUUUACUUCCAACAUCAAUGGAUUACAAGACAUUUGUAAAAAUAAAGUUGAGAAUGAAACAAAUAACUUUGAUAUUGAUCAAGUUUGUAAGAUAGGGGUAAAAUUUGCAAAAGCUCUCUUUGUUUUAUUUGAAAAAAAUGUUUUCACACACACAGCCAAGUGCCUAAUUCUUGAAAAUGUAUGUGAAAGUGUUGAAGAGAGAUACUGGGCGUUGUAUGAAAGCAGUCAUGAAUGUUGGAGACAGGGAGAUUGUCAAGAUGAAAGUGAGAGAGAUUCAGAUGAAAGUGAAAGUAAUAGAGAAGUGAGUGAUUAUAUGGAAGAUGUGAGUGAAAGUGGUGAAGAAGUACUACAAGAAUAAGUUAGUCAUUUUUAGUGUAUAUAUCUAAAACUUGUGUAAAUAUGUUUAUAAGUGCAUGUUUUCAUCUUACAAUAAAACUAUGCUGUAAAUUAAAUGGUUUAAAUCAUUGAUAAAUAAUAGCACAAGAUGGGGGGGUCAAAGUUUUUUAUAACCAACAUUUGGGGGGGUCAUUUUUAAAUUUAUGAUAUGACUGGGGGGUACAUGUUUAUUUUGUUCAUUUCACUAAAAAAUUCCCCAACCCCCCCAGCUGGUAAAUAAUGACUGUU